rnacentral:lncRNA from 1 species
AUGGUGAUGACUCUUAACGAGCAUGCUGCCUUCAAGCAUCUGUUUAACAAAGCACAUCUUGCACCGCCCUUAAUCCAUUUAACCCUGAGUGGACACAGCACAUGUUUCAGAGAGCACAGGGUUGGGGGUAAGGUCAUAGAUCAACAGGAUCCCAAGGCAGAAGAAUUUUUCUUAGUACAGAACAAAAUGAAAAGUCUCCCAUGUCUACUUCUUUCUACACAGACACAGCAACCAUCCGAUUUCUCAAUCUUUUCCCCACCUUUCCCCCUUUUCUAUUCCACAAAACCGCCAUUGUCAUCAUGGCCCGUUCUCAAUGAGCUGUUGGGUACACCUCCCAGACGGGGUGGUGGCCGGGCAGAGGGGCUCCUCACUUCCCAGUAG